rnacentral:rRNA from 1 species
UAGCCAGACUCCUACGGGAGGCAGCAGUGAGGAAUAUUGGUCAAUGGUCGGGAGACUGAACCAGCCAAGCCGCGUGAGGGAGGAAGGUACAGAGUAUCGUAAACCUCUUUUGUCAGGGAACAAAGGCGGGGACGUGUCCCCGGAUGAGUGUACCUGAAGAAAAAGCAUCGGCUAACUCCGUGCCAGCAGCCGCGGUAAUACGGGGGAUGCAAGCGUUAUCCGGAUUUAUUGGGUUUAAAGGGUGCGUAGGCUGUGAGGUAAGUCAGCGGUGAAAUGCCCCCGCUCAACGGGGUGAAGUGCCAUUGAUACUGCCUUGCUGGAAUGCGGAUGCCGUGGGAGGAAUGUGUGGUGUAGCGGUGAAAUGCAUAGAUAUCACGCAGAACUCCGAUUGCGAAGGCAGCAUACCGGCGCUCAACUGACGCUCAUGCACGAAAGCGUGGGUAUCGAACAGGAUUAGAUACCCCAGUA